rnacentral:rRNA from 1 species
CCUACGGGGGGCAGCAGUGGGGAAUAUUGCACAAUGGGGGAAACCCUGAUGCAGCGACGCCGCGUGAGUGAAGAAGUAUUUCGGUAUGUAAAGCUCUAUCAGCAGGGAAGAAAAUGACGGUACCUGAUUAAGAAGCCCCGGCUAACUACGUGCCAGCAGCCGCGGUAAUACGUAGGGGGCAAGCGUUAUCCGGAUUUACUGGGUGUAAAGGGAGCGUAGACGGCAGCACAAGUCUGGAGUGAAAUGCCGGGGCUUAACCCCGGAACUGCUUUGGAAACUGUGCAGCUAGAGUGCAGGAGAGGUAAGUGGAAUUCCUAGUGUAGCGGUGAAAUGCGUAGAUAUUAGGAGGAACACCAGUGGCGAAGGCAGCCUCCUGGGACGCAACUGACGCUCAUACACGAAAGCGUGGGGAGCAAACAGGAUUAGAUACCCUGGUAGUC